GUGAGGAAUAUUGGUCAAUGGUCGGAAGACUGAACCAGCCAUGCCGCGUGCAGGAAGACGGUCCUAUGGAUUGUAAACUGCUUUUAUUCGGGGAUAAACCUCCUUACGUGUAGGGAGCUGAAGGUACCGAAAGAAUAAGCACCGGCUAACUCCGUGCCAGCAGCCGCGGUAAUACGGAGGGUGCAAGCGUUAUCCGGAAUCAUUGGGUUUAAAGGGUCCGCAGGCGGGAUUGUAAGUCAGUGGUGAAAUCCGGCAGCUCAACUGUCGCACUGCCAUUGAUACUGCAGUCCUUGAAUUCGAUUGGAGUGGGCGGAAUAUGUCAUGUAGCGGUGAAAUGCUUAGAUAUGACAUAGAACACCGAUAGCGAAGGCAGCUCACUAAGUCUGAAUUGACGCUCAUGGACGAAAGCGCGGGUAGCAAACAGGAUUAGAAACCCCUGUAGUCC
rnacentral:rRNA from 1 species